UCCGUAGGGUCCAAGCGUUAUCCGGAAUCACUGGGCGUAAAGCGUGCGUAGGUGGCGUGUUAAGUGUGAUGUUAAAUCGUGUGGCUCAACCAUAUCGAUGUGUCGCAUACUGGCAUGCUAGAGGGAAGCAGAGGCAAGUGGAAUUUGUAGUGUAGCAGUGAAAUGCGUAGAUAUUACAAGGAACACCAAUGGCGAAGGCAGCUUGCUGGGCUUCUUCUGACACUGAGGUACGAAAGCGUGGGGAGCGAACAGG
rnacentral:rRNA from 1 species